rnacentral:snRNA from 1 species
AGGUGUGAAGGUGAUCUAGCUGUGACAUCUGCUCCCCCCAUUGAUUGCCAGGGUUGAUUCAGCUGAUCUAGCUGGCUAGAGAUGUGUCCUUUUCCUUCCUCUUGCUUCCUGUAUGUCCUUCCCAAAGCUGCAUACUUCAUUGAAAAGGACAACUACCCUCAAUGGAGGAGGACCAUUUUCUCGGUGAGGGUACACAAGUAGCUGUGCUUCCCUCCUAAAACCUCCAAACAAGCUCUCAGAAAACUUCCAACUUGACGUAUGCUUUUAGCAAAAACAAAAGUUAAUAUUACAAACCUCUUCUUU